rnacentral:rRNA from 1 species
AUUGAACGCUGGCGGCAGGCUUAACACAUGCAAGUCGAGCGGGGUGAUGGUGCUUGCACUAUCACUUAGCGGCGGACGGGUGAGUAAUGCUUAGGAAUCUGCCUAUUAGUGGGGGACAACAUCUCGAAAGGGAUGCUAAUACCGCAUACGUCCUACGAGAGAAAGCAGGGGAUCACUUGUGACCUUGCGCUAAUAGAUGAGCCUAAGUCGGAUUAGCUAGGUGGUGGGGUAAAGGCCUAACAAGGAGACGAUCUGUAGCGGGUCUGAGAGGAUGAUCCGCCACACUGGGACUGAGACACGGCCCAGACUCCUACGGGAGGCAGCAGUGGGGAAUAUUGGACAAUGGGGGGAACCCUGAUCCAGCCAUGCCGCGUGUGUGAAGAAGGCCUUAUGGUUGUAAAGCACUUUAAGCGAGGAGGAGGCUCUUUUGGUUAAUACCCAAGAUGAGUGGACGUUACUCGCAGAAUAAGCACCGGCUAACUCUGUGCCAGCAGCCGCGGUAA